rnacentral:rRNA from 1 species
AUUGAACGCUGGCGGCAAGCCUAACACAUGCAAGUCGAACGAGUGGCGGACGGGUGAGUAAUGUCUGGGAAACUGCCUGAUGGAGGGGGAUAACUACUGGAAACGGUAGCUAAUACCGCAUACCAUCGGAUGUGCCCAGAUGGGAUUAGCUAGUAGGUGGGGUAAAGGCUCACCUAGGCGACUAUCCCUAGCUGGUCUGAGAGGAUGACCAGCCACCAUGGAACUGAGAAACGGUCCAGACUCCUACGUGAGGCAGGAGGGGGGAAUAAUGCACAAUGGGCGCAAGCCCGAGGGAGCCAUGCCGCGUGUAUGAAGAAGGCCUUCGGGUUGUAAAGUACUUUCAGCGGGGAGGCGGUACCCGCAGAAGAAGCACCGGCUAACUCCGUGCCAGCAGCCGCGGUAAUAC